rnacentral:lncRNA from 1 species
CUGGGAUGUGACUUGCAGAUGGUUCUUGUCAAAGGAUCUUCUAAUCCUAGCUGUGUGGUGAUCUGGUGAGGUUGAUGUGUACCAGCUGAGCACAAGUCCCUGCCCCUGAAGUGCAGCUGGUAAAGUUCUCUAGCCUUUGAAAAUCUUCAUAAAUGGCUACAUAACAAGUGCAAGUUUCCCUCCUGUUCAGUGAAAAGUACCAAUCAGGCUGUGAUGACUGUGACAUCUCUUACCAAGAGAGAACAAAGAAACCAUUCAACUCUAAAUAAUCAUCAAAGUCUGGCUUGUCAGACUUAGGGUACGUGGCCUAUUAAGCUUUAUUGAGGGCACAUUGUGAAAGCAGUGGUGGUUAAAUAAGUGCACAGGCCCUUGCAUGAUUAGUUAUGCAUAUGGCACAGUGAUCUUGUUAAAAUCAGAUUUUAUUCAAAGAAAGCAGAACCAUCUCCACUAAAACUAAAGCAUGGCAUAAAAUCAAGCAG